CAAAAGCUUGGUCCUGACUUUACUAUCAACUUUAGCUUAACUUACACAUGCAAGUAUCCGCACCCCAGUGAAAAUGCCCCACAGUCCUCUGCCCGAGGACAAGGAGCUGGUAUCAGGCACACAUCUAAGCCCACAACACCUUGCUCAGCCACACCCCCAAGGGUAUACAGCAGUGAUAAAUAUUAAGCCAUAAGUGAAAACUUGACUUAGUUAAAGCUAAAAGGGCCGGUAAAACUCGUGCCAGCCACCGCGGUUAUACGAGAGACCCAAGUUGAUAGACUCAUCGGCGUAAAGGGUGGUUAAGAGUAAACUAAAACUAAAGCUGAACAUCUUCAAAGCAGUCAUACGCCCCCGAAGAUAAGAAACUCAACUACGAAAGUGGCUUUACAAACCUGAAUCCACGAAAGCUAUGGCACAAACUGGGAUUAGAUACCCCACUAUGCUUAGCCCUAAACAUUGAUAAUACACUACAAUUAUUAUCCGCCCGGGUACUACGAGCAUCAGCUUAAAACCCAAAGGACUUGGCGGUGCUUUAGAUCCCCCUAGAGGAGCCUGUCCUAGAACCGAUAAUCCCCGUUAAACCUCACCCCCCCUUGUUCUCCUAGCCUAUAUACCGCCGUCGUCAGCUUACCCUGUGAAGGACUUAUAGUAAGCAUAAUUGGCAUAACCCAGAACGUCAGGUCGAGGUGUAGCUUAUGGGAGGGAAAGAGAUGGGCUACAUUCCAUGACACACGGAAUACGAACGAUGUCCUGAAACACACAUCUGAAGGAGGAUUUAGUAGUAAGCAGAAAACAGAGAGUUCUGCUGAAACUGGCCCUGAAGCGCGUACACACCGCCCGUCACUCUCCCCAUAUAUUAUGUUUUUAGUAACUAAAACCCCAUUACCUAAAAGGGGAGGCAAGUCGUAACAUGGUAAGUGUACCGGAAGGUGCACUUGGAAAAAC
rnacentral:ncRNA from 1 species